rnacentral:rRNA from 1 species
UACGUAGGCAGCAAACGUUGUUCGGAGUUACUGGGCGUAAAGAGUGCGUAGGCGGUCCGCUAAGUCUGGUGUGAAAUCUCCCGGCUCAACUGGGAGGGUGCGCUAGAUACUGGCGGGCUUGAGUGUGGGAGAGGGAAGCGGAAUUCCUGGUGUAGCGGUGAAAUGCGUAGAUAUCAGGAGGAACACCGGCGGUGUAGACGGCUUCCUGGACCACUACUGACGCUGAGGCACGAAAGCGUGGGGAGCAAACAGG